AGAGUUUGAUCAUGGCUCAGGACGAACGCUGGCGGCGCGCCUAAUACAUGCAAGUCGAGGGAGAACCAAACCUUCGGGUUUGGGGAGACCGGCGAACGGGUGAGUAACACGUGAGGAACCUGCCCUGUAGACCGGAAUAACCACGGGAAACUGUGGCUAAUGCCGGAUACUCUCGAACACUCGCAUGGGAGUUCGAGGAAAUGGUCCGCCGCUACAGGAUGGCCUCGCGGCCUAUCAGCUUGUUGGUGAGGUAACGGCUCACCAAGGCUUCGACGGGUAGCUGGUCUGAGAGGACGAUCAGCCACACUGGCACUGCGACACGGGCCAGACUCCUACGGGAGGCAGCAGUAAGGAAUAUUGCGCAAUGGGCGAAAGCCUGACGCAGCGACGCCGCGUGGGGGAUGAAGGUCUUCGGAUUGUAAACCCCUUUCGGGAGGGAAGAUGGAAUGGGGUAACCCAUUUGGACGGUACCUCCAGAAGAAGCCCCGGCCAACUACGUGCCAGCAGCCGCGGUAAUACGUAGGGGGCAAGCGUUGUCCGGAAUUAUUGGGCGUAAAGAGCUCGUAGGCGGUCCUUUAAGUCGGGUGUGAAAUCUCAGGGCUCAACCCUGAAACCGCACUCGAUACUGGAGGACUUGAGGCGGGUAGGGGAAGGUGGAAUUCCUGGUGUAGCGGUGAAAUGCGCAGAUAUCAGGAGGAACACCGGUGGCGAAGGCGGGUCUCUGGGCCGAUACUGACGCUGAGGAGCGAAAGCGUGGGGAGCAAACAGGAUUAGAUACCCUGGUAGUCCACGCCGUAAACGAUGGGUGCUAGGUGUGGGGGGGUCAUCCACUCCCUCCGUGCCGCAGCUAACGCAUUAAGCGCCCCGCCUGGGGAUUACGACCGCAAGGUUAAAACUCAAAUGAAUUGACGGGGA
rnacentral:rRNA from 1 species